UACAGAGGGUGCGAGCGUUAAUCGGAAUUACUGGGCGUAAAGCGUGCGUAGACGGUUAUUUAAGUCGGGUGUGAAAGCCCCGGGCUCAACCUGGGAAUUGCAUUCGAGACUGAAUAGCUAGGGUACGGUAGAGGGAAGUGGAAUUUCCGGUGUAGCGGUGAAAUGCGUAGAUAUUGGGAAGAACACCUGAGGCGAAGGCGGGUUGCUGGGCCGACACUGACGCUGAGGCGGCGAAAGCAUGGGGGAGCGAACAGG
rnacentral:rRNA from 1 species